rnacentral:lncRNA from 1 species
CAGAAGUGGAGUUAUGACCCAAGUUACCUCAGACUGUCUUUUUUCUUGGACAUGAUUUACAAAAACCUGGAUAAAAAAGGUUCUAAUGGAUGGAUUUCCAUGAUUGUUUUAGUGAAAGCUGAAGAACACUUCAGAGAAUCUUUUAAAACAAAAAUCAACCCGAUCUGACCACCAGAAGUGGAGUUAUGACCAAAGUUACCUCAGACUGUCUUUUUUCUUGGACAUGAUUUACAAAAACCUGGAUAAAAAAGGUUCUAAUGUAUGGAUUUCCAUGAUUGUUUUAGUGAAAGCUGAAGAACACUUCAGAGAAUCUUUUAAAACAAAAAUCAACCCGAUCUGACCACCAGAAGUGGAGUUAUGACCAAAGUUACCUCAGACUGUCUUUUUUCUUGGACAUGAUUUACAAAAACCUGGAUAAAAAAGGUUCUAAUGGAUGGAUUUCCAUGAUUGUUUUAGUGAAAGCUGAAGAAGACUUCAAAGAAUCUUUUAAAACAAAAAUCAACCCGAUCUGACCACCAGAAGUGAAGUUAUGACCCCAGUU